UCCCUAGUGGCUCAGACGGUAAAGCGUCUGUCUACAAUGCAGGAGACCCAGGUUCGAUCCCUGGGUUGGAAA
rnacentral:tRNA from 1 species